UGGGCUGUCGGGAGCUGCAGCACACAGCCCCCAUUGCACACAUGAUCAGGGCUGCCACGGUAGGAUAGGGCUUUGCCCUUUUAACCUGGGUUAGAGGGUGGGUUGAUUCCCAGAGUAGCCCUGCUCUGGAGCAGCAGGGCAGGAGUGGAAUCCGAGGCUUCAUGCGAGCCUCGCAAGCCAGGUUUUCAUGCUCCUGCCCUGCUGCAGCGGGUCAUGAGAAUAGCCUCAUGGUUUAAAACUGCCGUGGACUUUUCAGAAGACUGGAGAAUAUUUGUGAAUCAUAUCAGUGAUGAUUUUCAGCUUGCUUUUAUGGAUGGGCCAAAAUAGCUACAGAAUGCAGGCUUUUCUUCUUCAUAAAUUCUCGAUAUGCUACUUUUCCUAAAAAACAAUGCUGUGUUCCAAAAAAAGGUGCACAUUUAGACCCAGAUCCAGAUCUGGCUGCAUUCAACAAUGCUUGCCCUGCCCGAGGCAGUAGCUGCGGAUGUGUAUUCUCACAGACAUUACAAGGCAGAUGGAAAUGGGUGCCACACUUCCCAUCACAAUGCAAGUGCACACCAUUGAUAUCUAGACUCUCCUCAUGGUUCCUAGUCCAGCAUGAGAAUCUGAGCAGGAAAGCUGCUUCUAUCUGUGCAUGUAUUACAUUGUUUUAAAUGACUGUUUUUAACAGUUUGUUUUAUUUUGUUGUUCUAGUGCUUAUUUUUGUGAACUGCCUAGAGCCUUUGGAGUCAGGCAGUUAAAUUAAAUAUUAAAUUAACAACAAAUAUUAAAUUAACAACAACAACAACAA